rnacentral:tRNA from 1 species
GGUAAGAUGGCUGAGUGUUUAGCGGUGGAUUGUAGCCCCAUGAACAGAGGUUAAAGUCCUCUUCUUACCA